UUCAGGGAAGCCUAGUGGCAUGGCAUCUGCUCCAUAAGCGGAACACUGUAGGUUCGAUUCCCAUCCCUAGAAA
rnacentral:tRNA from 1 species